rnacentral:rRNA from 1 species
GGGGAAUAUUGCACAAUGGGGGAAACCCUGAUGCAGCGACGCCGCGUGAGCGAAGAAGUAUUUCGGUAUGUAAAGCUCUAUCAGCAGGGAAGAAAAUGACGGUACCUGACUAAGAAGCCCCGGCUAACUACGUGCCAGCAGCCGCGGUAAUACGUAGGGGGCAAGCGUUAUCCGGAUUUACUGGGUGUAAAGGGAGCGUAGACGGCAAGGCAAGUCUGAUGUGAAAGGCUGGGGCUCAACCCCGGGACUGCAUUUGAAACUGUAGAGCUUGAGUGAAGUAGAGGCAGGCGGAAUUCCCCGUGUAGCGGUGAAAUGCGUAGAGAUGGGGAGGAACACCAGUGGCGAAGGCGGCCUGCUGGGCUUUAACUGACGCUGAGGCACGAAAGCGUGGGUAGCAAACAGGAUUAGAUACCCUGGUAGUCCACGCUGUAAACGAUGAUUACUAGGUGUGGGGGGUCUGACCCCUUCCGUGCCGGAGUUAACACGAUAAGUAAUCCACCUGGGGAGUACGGCCGCAAGGUUGAAACUCAAAGGAAUUGACGGGGGCCCGCACAAGCAGUGGAGUAUGUGGUUUAAUUCGAAGCAACGCGAAGAACCUUACCAGGUCUUGACAUCCAACUAACGAAGUAGAGAUACAUUAGGUGCCCUUCGGGGAAAGUUGAGACAGGUGGUGCAUGGUUGUCGUCAGCUCGUGUCGUGAGAUGUUGGGUUAAGUCCCGCAACGAGCGCAACCCUUGCUAUUAGUUGCUACGCAAGAGCACUCUAAUAGGACUGCCGUUGACAAAACGGAGGAAGGUGGGGACGACGUCAAAUCAUCAUGCCCCUUAUGACCUGGGCUACACACGUACUACAAUGGAUGUUAACAGAGGGAAGCAAGACAGCGAUGUGGAGCAAACCCCUAAAAACAUUCUCAGUUCAGAUUGCAGGCUGCAACCCGCCUGCAUGAAGAUGGAAUUGCUAGUAAUCGCGGAUCAGCAUGCCGCGGUGAAUACGUUCCCG